GAAUAUAUCACGUUGAAACACCGGUUCUGGUACGAUUACCGAAGUUAAGCAACGUCGAACCUGGUCGGUAGCUAGAUGGGUAACCACUUGGGAAUACCAGGUGUU